rnacentral:rRNA from 1 species
AUCGAUGAAGAACGCAGCGAAACGCGAUAGGUAAUGUGAAUUGCAGAAUUCAGUGAAUCAUCGAAUCUUUGAACGCACAUUGCGCCUCCUGGUAUUCCGGGGGGCAUGUCUGUUUGAGCGUCAGUACCCACUCUUUCGAAAUUUAUUUUCGUAAGGUUUUGAAGGACACCUGUCCUUUCAAUGUAGACGCUUGCGAACCCGAUACCGAUCAUGACGUAGUAAUUUCAUUUCGUCUUGUCAAGUUGAAGGCCGCCUGAACACCAAACUUUGUAGUUUGACCUCAGAUCAGACAAGGAUACCCGCUGAACUUAAGCAUAUCAAUAAGCGGAGGAAAAGAAACCAACAGGGAUUGCCUCAGUAACGGCGAGUGAAGCGGCAAGAGCUCAAAUUUGAAAUCUGAUACCUUCGGUGUCCGAGUUGUAAUUUGAAGAGGAGUCUUCGGUUUGGGUCGUGGCCUAUGUUCCUUGGAACAGGACGUCGUAGAGGGUGAGAAUCCCGUACACGGCUGACGAUCUCUUACCAUGUGAAGUUCCUUCGAAGAGUCGAGUUGUUUGGGAAUGCAGCUCUAAAUGGGUGGUAAAUUUCAUCUAAAGCUAAAUACCGGCGAGAGACCGAUAGCGCACAAGUAGAGUGAUCGAAAGAUGAAAAGCACUUUGAAAAGAGAGUUAAACAGUACGUGAAAUUGUUGAAAGGGAAGCGCUUGCAAUCAGACUUGCCUUUGGUCGAUCAACGUUCCUUCUGGUUCGUGCACUCGGCCUUCGGCAGGCCAGCAUCGGUUCGGACGGUGGGAUAAAGACUUCAGGAAUGUGGCUCUCUUCGGGGAGUGUUAUAGCCUGAUGUGUAAUGCCGCCUGACCGGACCGAGGACCGCGCUUCGGCUAGGAUGCUGGCGUAAUGGUUGUAAGCGACCCGUCUUGAAACACGG